ACCUUUAUAUAUAUAUAUAUAUUAAUUUAUUAAGUUUUUUUUUACUAAUAAUAUAUUAUUAUUUUAUUAAAUAUUAAAGUUAAAAGAAUAAAAUAAUGAAUUUUUAAAUAAUUAAUUUGUACUUUUGUAGUUGUAAAAUAUAGAAUAAUGUGUUUAUAGAAUAAAUUUGAUCAUAUUUUUUUAAAAAAAAAUGUUUUGGAUUGGUCGGUCGGUUUUCGAAGUGUACCAAUCCAGACCCAAAAUCGAAUUCUAGAUUUUUAUAUAGAAAAAAAUCGACCAAACCGAUCGAUUCUUACCCGAUAACUAGUUAUCAAUUUUUAUAAUAUGAUUUUUGUUUUUUAUGUAAAAAUAAAUAUGUGUAAUAUAUGUAUACACUACAUUAUUUUUGUAGAGAUAAUUCCAUAUAAUGAUUAGAUGAUUAGUAUAUAUGUUAUGAUGUUAAAACUUUUAAUAAGAUUUUUUUUUUGUAUUGUUUAAAACUUUAUAGAUUGAUUUUCAAAUUUUUAUUAUAAUAUUUGAUAAUGAUGAUAAUGUAAAUCGCUCAAACUGUAACACAUCAUAUUUCUGCGGAAUAGUUUUUGUGGUUUUAAGAUCUCGUUGUGCGGUUGCGGUUUGAGAAAUUAAAAAAAUUACAUAUAUAGUUUAGUUUGAAAAAAAUAUUAUAAUCUGCACCACCUGCAUCGCAAACACUGUUACAGUAAUUCAUACACAUAAGUAAUUUUUGAUGUAAAUAUUUAACUUUCAAUUGUAAAUAAAUAUGAAAUUUUUAAAAAAUUUAACAGUAAAAAUAUAUGUUUGUUUGAAUUUUAAAAUUUUUGUAAGUACUUAAUCAUUAUUUGUCAUGUUUAUGUAUUAUUAUUAUGUGUAAGUAAAAAAUUAUAAAUGAAAAAAAGGGAAAUUUACACUGGAUAUUGUUUUUUGUCAUUUUUUUUUUCUUUUUUACUGUUACACGGCAAUGUUUACUUUUAUAGUGUUUUUUUUUAGGGGAAAUUACAUUGUAUGCCCCUUUUAACUAAACCAUUUUAAUUUUUACCUUCUUUUUUUUAUUCAUUCAUUUAUACCCACAUUUAUAGGUAUUGUUCCCUUUAUACCCUUUAUUUAGGUUAAAUGAAAAAAUAUAUUCAAUUACUUCUUCUCCAGAAACACGAUCACUACUCCUCGGCUCCUCUUGUGUGCGAUCAACGAUUUUGGCCAGUCUGUGGUGUACAUCUCAGGUGUACACCAAUAUUCAAUCACCACACUCAUCUCGUAGAGGAACGGUGGCUCAACUCAGUCUGCCAUGUCAAUUUUUCUGCAUGGAGAGAAUAACAAUUGUGGUUGUUGGGGGCCAAGAUUCAGCCGAGCCUACUACCAAAGAAGAAUUCAGACUAAUUUUGUGAAGUGGACUUAUUCUCUGUAUUGUUAUUGCUGAUCAUAAUCAGGGGUUUUUAGGGGAAGGCCAUGCUUUAUGCUCCUUUACUUGUCUCAAUUCUAUCUUGCAUUGUGGUGAUGACAUUGAUUGUGGAUACUCAAGUGAUGGUGACUAUAUCUACGGCUGGGGCUGGGACGGCACUACAGUGUUUGUUCUAUCCAAGUUUUGUUGUGCUCCAUUUUUAUGGCCAUUAAGUAUGAUAAUGAGAGAAAACUUUUUUAGCAUAGAACAAAUAUCAUGAUUAUAUGACCUUAAAGAUUGAUCAUUAUAUGGUGUGGGGUUCGAUAAAACAAGGAUUAAUGUGUAGAUUCUAGCUAAUUUAUCUAUUUAUUGUACGCUUGAAAGCGAUUUGGAGUUAACUAACGAAAAACCAAGUCCACUGACUCUGGUUUUCUUUUUUGUAAUAUCUUAAGAUUGGCAUAAUCACUCUUUUUAGCUCUA